GGCUUGAUAGUUCAGUUGGUAGAGCACUGCUCCGAUAUCGCAGAGGUCAUAGGUUCGAAUCCGGUUCAGGCCU